rnacentral:rRNA from 1 species
GUCGAGGAUCUUCCGCAAUGGACGCAAGUCUGACGGAGCGACGCCGCGUGUGGGAGGAAGGCCUUCGGGUUGUAAACCACUGUCACUUGUUAAGAAUCCGCAGGGUGCGAUAAGCGCUUUGCGGUGACGAAUGCAGGAGAGGAAGCCACGGCUAACUUCGUGCCAGCAGCCGCGGUAAUACGAAGGUGGCAAGCGUUGUUCGGAAUCACUGGGCAUAAAGCGCGUGUAGGCGGCCGUGUCAGUCGGGUGUGAAAUCCCCCAGCCCAACUGGGGAACUGCGCCCGAUACUGCACGGCUUGAGGCUUGGAGGGGAGAGCGGAAUUCCUGGUGGAGCGGUGAAAUGCGUAGAUAUCAGGAGGAACUCCGGUGGCGAAGGCGGCUCUCUGGACAAGUUCUGACGCUGAGACGCGAAAGCUAGGGGAGCAAACGGGAUUAGAAACCCCGGUAGUCC